GGGGAGGUCAGGGAGCGGAGCGGGGGAGGUGGUGAGAUGGUCUCCGAUGCUCCAGGCGUGCAGAUGCAGUCUCGUGGUCUCACCUGGCCGGCCGCAGGUGUGCAGGUGUCUGUGCAGGUGCGCCGUGCACCCGCUGGAGCCCCCAGGGGCUCCUGUUCUCUCUGACUCAGGUGACUUUCCAGCCCUUCCCUCUCCCCUCUUUUUUUGCUCUCCCCUCUGACUCAGCCAAGCCAGACUUGGGUGUGGGUGGUCAGCGAGGGAGGGAGCAUCCCACCACCUUCUCAGGGCAGCCCUUGACCUCCGGACACCCUUCCUCCUUCCACUCUGCGUCUCCUCCCCGUCCACCCGCAAUGCUGCAGCUGGGGCUAACCUUGCUCUCUUGUGGGGGCACCUCUGCCAUGUCUUCCUGUGGUCAGGCCACAGCGGAUGGUGGUUCAGGCUACACACAAGCCCCACACCCCGGCUGGGGGCUGUGUCUGCCGGGAGGGGGCGCUCCAUUUCUAGUUUGCACAGAGGUAGUUGCUCCCCUGGCAGUGAGGAGGGACUUCUCUCCCCUGUCAGUCCCUAUAGGGGUGAAAAAGCCAGAUUGGGGUGGGCACCAGGGGAGCAAGUGAAAGCCUGGCUCCCUCCCCGCUCCGCGUUGUCCCCUCCCCCAGGGCUGUGCCACAUUCUGCUUUGUCCGGGGGAAGUCAGCAGAAUCUUUCUGAGGCUCGGAUAGGGCAGUGUUCCCCUAGACCCCUUCUUCCCAAGUUCCCGAACCAAAGACAGCCUGCACCCAAUUUUUAUUUGGGCAGCCUGCUGGCAAGAUCCCAGAACCCUGAGCCUCUGUCUCCUCCUCCUCCUCAAUCCUCUGUUGUCCAGGGUCAAUUCAGUGCUUCCAUUGGGGGAUCGCGCCCUCCCCCUGACUCACCCCCGCUUAGGGGGUUGAGUCUAGAGGAGUAUAUGGCGGGUGACCAGGGGACAGGAUGGCAGCCUGGGUUGGAGGCUGUCCCAGUUCAGGGGCCCCCGGCAGAGGCUGGGGGGGGGCAGGGACUCUGGCCUUGGGACUGGCAGCUUCCAGUAGAUGUCACAGUCCCCACCCCCCAGGGGACAUGGGCCUCCUCCUGCCUCACUUGGAGGAGCUGUUCAUGCAGUUUGCAGGUUUGGGGGAGGGGGCGGCCCUUGUGUGGGGUGAGGCCCCGCUGGAGCAGAGCACUGCUUGCCUCUCUCAGCCCUUCAUGGCCUCUGGGAGGGCUGAGCCCUGGGAGCAGAGGCGGCCUGGGGGCCGGGCUGCAGGGGGUUAGGACCCUCCCACCCAGGACCCAGAACCGAGACCUCUAUGAGGGGUUGGGAGCAGCCUUGAAGGCCUCCUCCAGCCCCGAGCAUCCUAGCGGGGCUAGGGUGAGGGGGCAAGGUGGGCAUGACCUGCCUCCCCACUCUCCUGCCACCCUAGAAGGCCAUCCCCCCGGGGGGGGGGGGUUCGAAAAAGCUGGACCACCUGUCUUUCCUUCCCGCAGCCCCCCACCUGCUUUGAAUGUAGAGAGACCGGUUGGUACUUUUCUUUUGCUGGGGGGUGGGGCCAGGAGAAUGUUCUCCGCCCCUGGCACAGCCGCUUGUAAUGCUGCCCCUCGAGGACCGGGCCCCUCGAGGACCACCCGCCGCUCCUAGGAUGGUGGCCCCAGGGCCAGCCUCCUUCUCCGCUCCCGGCCUGGGGGAAGGCGCUUCGCUUGGUUUAGCUUUUGCUUCAUAACCGGCCAGCCUGGCCUCCAGGUCUCAGCACAAGAACGCUGCCUUUGCACAGAAUGAGCAUCAAGCUUUGUUCUGACUACAUGAAUGUAUUCGGGAGGGUUGGGGGCGCGAGUCGGUUCAAGCACAUGCCUUUGCCGAGUGCGCGUGUGCAGGGAGAGCUAGAGCGGAUGCAGAGUGUGGGUUUAUUUUUGUACUGAUAUUGGUAAGAGACUGUACAGCAUCUAUUUAUUUAGAUGAUUUAUCUGGUAAACGAGGCAAAAAAUUAUUAAAAAUACAUUAAAGAU
ensembl:lncRNA